rnacentral:rRNA from 1 species
UACGGAGGGUGCAAGCGUUAUCCGGAUUCACUGGGUUUAAAGGGUGCGUAGGCGGAUUUGUAAGUCCGUGGUGAAAUCUCCGAGCUUAACUCGGAAACUGCCAUGGAUACUAUAAGUCUUGAAUGUUGUGGAGGUUUGCGGAAUAUGUCAUGUAGCGGUGAAAUGCUUAGAUAUGACAUAGAACACCGAUUGCGAAGGCAGCAGGCUACACAAAUAUUGACGCUGAGGCACGAAAGCGUGGGGAGCAAACAGG